rnacentral:rRNA from 1 species
UACGAGAGGAGCGAGCGUUAUCCCAAAUGAUUGGGCGUAAAGGGUUCGUAGGUUGUAAUGCGUUAGUUUUGUGUUAAAUCUUGGGGUAGUACCUUAAGUUGCACCUUAUACAGCAUUACUUGAGUUUAAUUGAAAAUAAUAGAAUUUAAAAGGUAGGGGUGAAAUCUGAUGAUCUUUUAGAGAAUGCCAGAGGCGAAAGCGAUUAUUUAGGUUAAUAACUGACAUUGAGGAACGAAAGCAUGGGGAUCAA